rnacentral:rRNA from 1 species
CAAUAGCGUAUAUUAAAGUUGUUGCGGUUAAAAAGCUCGUAGUUGGAUUUCUGCUGAGAACGACCGGUCCGCCCUUUGGGUGUGUAUCUGGCUCUUUCUUGGCAUCUUCUUGGUGAACGUUGCUGCACUUGACUGUGUGGAGCGCUACCCAGGACUUUUACUUUGAGGAAAUUAGAGUGUUUCAAGCAGGCAUACGCCUUGAAUACAUUAGCAUGGAAUAAUAAGAUAGGACCUCGGUUCUAUUUUGUUGGUUUCUAGAGCUGAGGUAAUGAUUAAUAGGGAUAGUUGGGGGCAUUCGUAUUUAACUGUCAGAGAUGAAAUUCUUGGAUUUGUUAAAGACGGACUACUGCGAAAGCAUUUGCCAAGGAUGUUUUCAUUGA